ACCUCAAAAAUGUACUGUUUAAAGAACAAAAAAUGAAGCAAAGCCGCCUUGUGCAUUUUAAGCCAGCCUCAUGAUUGUGUGCAUGUCUGACUUGUGAUUUUCAAAUGCUUGGAGUUGGCUAUAUUGAUCCAUUCCCUGUAGAGAGAUAAAUGGGGCAGGGUCCCCCAGGUUUCAACUUUGGUAUAAAUGGCUCUGUAGGUAUCAUCAAUGAAGCUGCCAAGAUUUGGAGUACAAUAUAGUGAACAGAUGAGUGAAGCUAGCUACUAUGGGAGCAGUAACGCGGCAGCACAAACACGCAGAGCAGAAAGGGAUCUGGCUUGCCUGAAUAUUGCACACAGCUAGAAGUAUCAGCCAUCAGUUCUUGCAGGAGAUCAACUGAAUGCUGAAAUG